rnacentral:rRNA from 1 species
CUUUUGUGGGGUGCUCGAGUGGCGAACGGGUGAGUAACACGUGAGUAACCUGCCCUUGACUUUGGGAUAACUUCAGGAAACUGGGGCUAAUACCGGAUAGGAGCUCCUGCUGCAUGGUGGGGGUUGGAAAGUUUCGGCGGUUGGGGAUGGACUCGCGGCUUAUCAGCUUGUUGGUGGGGUAGUGGCUUACCAAGGCUUUGACGGGUAGCCGGCCUGGGAGGGUGACCGGCCACAUUGGGACUGAGAUACGGCCCAG